GAUGAAGAACGUAGCGAAAUGCGAUAACUAAUGUGAAUUGCAGAAUUCAGUGAAUCAUCGAGUCUUUGAACGCACAUUGCGCCCCCUGGUAUUCCGGGGGGCAUGCCUGUCCGAGCGUCAUUACGCCCCUCAAGUCCCCUGUGGACUUGGUGUUGGGGAUCGGCGAGGCUGGUUUUCCAGCACAGCCGUCCCUUAAAUUAAUUGGCGGUCUCGCCGUGGCCCUCCUCUGCGCAGUAGUAAAACACUCGCAACAGGAGCCCGGCGCGGUCCACUGCCGUAAAACCCCCCAACUUUUUAUAGUUGACCUCGAAUCAGGUAGGACUACCCGCUGAACUUAAGCAUAUCAAUAAGCGGAGGA
rnacentral:misc_RNA from 1 species